GCGAGAACCGGUCCUUCGGGGCCGGGGACAGCGGCGAACGGGUGAGUAACACGUGGGUAAUCUGCCCUCGGCACCGGGAUAGCCCGGGGAAACCCGGAUUAAUACCGGAUGGCCUUUCGAAUCUUCGGGUUCGAAUGAAAAGGUAGCUUCGGCCUCCGGCCGAGGAUGAGCCCGCGGCCGAUUAGCUUGUUGGUGAGGUAACGGCUCACCAAGGCUCCGAUCGGUAGCUGGUCUGAGAGGACGAUCAGCCACACUGGGACUGAGACACGGCCCAGACUCCUACGGGAGGCAGCAGUGGGGAAUCUUGCGCAAUGGGCGAAAGCCUGACGCAGCGACGCCGUGUGCGGGAAGAAGGCCUUCGGGUUGUAAACCGCUUUCAGGAGGGACGAAGCCACUCGGGUUAAUAGCCCAGAGGGUGACGGUACUUCCAGAAGAAGCCCCGGCUAACUACGUGCCAGCAGCCGCGGUAAUACGUAGGGGGCUAGCGUUG
rnacentral:rRNA from 1 species